AUGGAUGAUCUGCCAGAUGGUGACGGGCAAUCUGAUACACACUCUACUGAUGCAAAUUGGCUGUCCUCACAUGAAGAGCAUAAGUUCCAAUCCAUUUCCUUGGCUAAGCAGGACCACAAUUCGGAUUUGGCAGAUUCUUCUCUUAACUGUAUGAAAGGUGACCAUUCAUUUUGCGCUUCUCAGGAAUUAUGGUCUACUGGAUUUCUAUCGAGUCCAAUACCCAAUGGAUUUUACUCAAUUAUACCGGAUAAGAAACUGAAGGAGUGUUUUGACGCCAUUCCUUCUCCUGAUGAUCUAUAUUCCCUUGGAAUAGAGGGCUUCAAGGCUGAGAUAAUUCUUGUGGACUUGGAGAAGGAUAAAAAGCUAUCUGCGAUAAGGCAGCUAUGUGUAGCUCUGGUAAAAGGAUUGAGUUCUAACCCAGCCGCAAUGAUAAAAAAGCUUGCAGGUUUGGUUUGUGACUUCUAUAAGCGACCAAACCCACAGCUCAGCCCUGCAAGAACUUCUUCUGAAGAAAUUUUUCAUUUCAUGGAAAACAAGGGAAUUCAAUUGUUGGGGCAGAUACGACAUGGAUCUUGUCGGCCCAGAGCAAUUUUAUUUAAAGUCCUUGCUGACUCUGUUGGUAUAGAUUCUAAGCUGUUGGUGGGCAUUUCAGAUGAAGAAUCUCAUGAACGCGAUGACUCACCCAAACAUAUGUCUGUUGUUGUUAUGCUGAAGUCCAUGGAGUUUCUCGUUGAUCUAAUGCGUUUUCCAGGACAACUAAUUCCAUUCUCAUCCAAAGCUAUAAUCACAUCCCAUAUAUCUGCUGCUGGAGAGAGUGACUCUGCUGACUAUGAUUCUUGUGAUUCUCCUCUUGAACCGAAUAGUCCUUUGUGCUCUCAACGGCAAGAGCAAGAUGAAAACAAUAGGUCAUUUAAAGUUCCGUCCCUAAGAGACAUCAUGCGCCGAACUUCAAACUCUAUGGAGGGCAAAUUGAGAUGUUCAUCACAUAGUGAACCAAAUGUUGCAAAUGCCUUAUGUGGACGCCGUGGGAGGAAAGCUAAUGAACAUCAAAGAACUGCCAGUUCAAGUCCAGACCAUCCAUUGUCCAGAGCACAUGGACGCUCAAACUUGGGUGAUAGACAGUACGGAGAUGGUGUAGCUGUAUCAAGGUCAGAUGGUGCAUCAACGUCAAGUGCGCGGAGAGGACGUCCAAAAAGUAUGAGUACAUCCCCUGAAAUUGGUGAUGACUUUGCGAGGGCAGUUAAAGAAAUGAGUGAAAGCAUGAGGAAAAAUCGCCAUUCAAGGGCACAUAAUGAUGGUAGUCCAGGACAUUCAAAUGAUUCACAGAGAAAAGAGGAAUCAGUAGGUGACCUCAACGAUGAUGAGGUGUCAGUAAGAGAACCAAAUGUUCAGGAGGGUUCAAGAAGGCACAUUAUUACUCAGAAGGCAUUGUCAUUACCUUCAUCACCGCAUCGGUUAGGUAACCAUGGUUCUAAUCUUAGAGAGCCAGCUGACUUCCUUACAGCAGAAGAUCUGAUGUCCACUUGGAAUAAAGCAUUGCAAUCUUCACCAUUUCUGAACAAGCCAUUAUUGCCUUUUGAAGAAUGGCAUAUUGGGUUCUCAGAGAUUGCUGUUGGCACUCGUGUUGGAAUAGGUUUUUUUGGGGAAGUUUUCCGUGGUAUCUGGAAUGGAACAGAUGUAGCUAUAAAAGUAUUUCUGGAGCAAGAUUUAACAAUGGAGAAUAUGGAAGAUUUCUGCAAUGAGAUCUCUAUACUUAGCCGUCUCCGACAUCCCAAUGUCAUAUUGUUCCUUGGUGCAUGUAUGAAGUCUCCUCACUUAUCCCUAGUCACUGAAUAUAUGGAAAUGGGUUCCUUGUACUAUUUGAUUCACACAAGUGGCCAGAAAAGUAAGAUCAGUUGGCGAAGGAGGCUAAAAAUGCUCCGUGAUAUCUGUAGGGGUCUUAUGUGUAUGCACCGUCUGAAGAUAGUUCAUCGUGAUCUAAAGAGUGCGAAUUGCCUUGUUAACAAGCACUGGACAGUCAAGUUAUGUGAUUUUGGGCUCUCUCGGUUAUUGUCGAAUUCUGCAAUGAGUGACAACUCAUCUGCAGGCACUCCAGAGUGGAUGGCUCCUGAGCUUAUUCGUAACGAACCAUUUACAGAAAAGUGUGAUAUCUUUAGCCUUGGAGUUAUCAUGUGGGAGCUUUGCACUCUGAGUAGGCCCUGGGCAGGAAAGCCGCCAGUUCAGGUUGUUUACUCUGUUGCGAACGAAGGGGCAAGAUUGGAAAUACCAGAUGGACCUCUGGGUAACUUGAUAGCAGAUUGCUGGACAGAACCGGAGAAGCGACCAAGCUGCCAGGAGAUCCUGACCCGUUUGCUUGAUUGCGAGUACACCUUAUGUUGA
rnacentral:rRNA from 1 species